rnacentral:rRNA from 1 species
UACCAGCUCUCCGAGUGGUAGGGAUGAUUAUUGGGCUUAAAGCGUCCGUAGCCGGCUUAGCAAGUCUCCUGUUAAAUUCAGCGACCUAAUCGUUGAGCCGCGGGAGACACUACUAGGCUAGGAGGCGGGAGAGGCCGACGGUAUUCUCGGGGUAGGGGUGAAAUCCUAUAAUCCCGGGAGGACCACCAGUGGCGAAGGCUGUCGGCUAGAACGCGCUCGACGGUGAGGGACGAAAGCUGGGGGAGCGAACCGGACUAGAUACCCGGGUAGUCCCAGCUGUAAACGAUGCGGGCUAGGUGUUGGGGUGGCUACGAGCCACUUCAGUGCCGCAGGGAAGCCAUUAAGCCCGCCGCCUGGGGAGUACGGCCGCAAGGCUGAAACUUAAAGGAAUUGGCGGGGGAGCACCACAAGGCGUGAAGCUUGCGGUUC